rnacentral:tRNA from 1 species
AGCUCCGUGGUGUAUAACAUGUUGGAUUGCAAAUCCAAAGAUGUAGGCUAAUUGCCUGCCGGGGCUU